GGAAGACUUAGUUUCAUUCCAGGCCUCUGUGACUUCCUACUUGGGUGGUUUAUCUGCUUAAAUGACCUCCCAACCUACUCCAGGAAAACUCAGCAGCCAGCAUCUUCAUCUGCUUUCUGAGUUCCAUCUCAGUUCAUGAAAGAACUUUGGAGAGUCAAACUCUAGCUACAUUGCCUAACCAAGACAAAGCCAUUUUUCAAGCAACUUUGACUUUUCAUUCAGGAAAUACAGCUUGAGGUGUCCUUCUACAUUCUACUGGUCGCAUCUGCGUGUCCUGGCCGACUUUGUAAGGCAGUUGUAAAGGACACCGGGAUAAAGUGUUCAGCUUUCCAGCGUCCAAAGACGAGGAAGACAGGAGAGGCUUUCAAGGAGUUGUGAGUGAGUGAACUGCCAGCAUCUGACACACUGACAUGAGGUUAUCUUUCAGCAUGAGUUCAAAAGUAAAGGAACUUUGAAACUAUCCUUUCCUAUCUACAUUCAUAAUCAUAAAUUACAUUGUAAUUCUAAAACUUCCUGUGGAGCAAAUGUUUGUGAUUUUUGAAUAAACAUAUUAACUAGUAAUGUACAAUUUUU
rnacentral:lncRNA from 1 species